rnacentral:rRNA from 1 species
UCUAAAACUCAAAGGAAUUGAGGGGGGCCCGCACAAGCGGUGGAGCAUGUGGUUUAAUUCGACGCAACGCGCAGAACCUUACCAGCCCUUGACAUCCCGGUCGCGGUUUCCAGAGAUGGAUUCCUUCAGUUCGGCUGGACCGGAGACAGGUGCUGCAUGGCUGUCGUCGGCUCGUGUCGUGAGAUGUUGGGUUAAGUCCCGCAACGAGCGCAACCCUCGCCCUUAGUUGCCAUCAUUCAGUUGGGCACUCUAAGGGGACUGCCGGUGAUAAGCCGAGAGGAAGGUGGGGAUGACGUCAAGUCCUCAUGGCCCUUACGGGCUGGGCUACACACGUGCUACAAUGGCGGUGACAAUGGGAUGCAAAGGCGCGAGCCCUAGCAAAUCUCAAAAAA